UAUUUUUCAGGAGUCUCUACCAUUAGCUAUGUGUUUUUUGCCAGUAAUGAACAAGAGUCUGCGUGCCACACGCAUAGCUAUCUGUACCAGUGGAGGUGACCCACUGUGAGCACUGCUGAAACGCACCAACCAAAGCCUUCCUGCACUCACAUCCACUGUUUGGUCUUCAUAAACAUUCAGCCAGCAUCAAUGCAUGUGCAAUUUCUUUUCUGCGUGGAGGAGUUCAACUACAGACCUUCAGUUACAUCAUGGGCCAACAUAAUAAAGUGCUCUGAGUAUGGAAGAGCCAUUUUGGAGACUGAAUAAGGCCAUUGCUACACAUAGCAAACAAAUGCAUUUCCAAUGCAGUGACAUCACUGUGGAGCUGCAAGAGAGAAACAUCAAAUUCUGAGACUUACUGCAGGUGCUACAGGAACAAGGAAUAAGAAACUUUAUGUCAAGUUUAUGGAAACAGAUGGAGCUGAAAGUUUAUAGCAAACCUGACAGAAGUGAGUGGUCAUGUAGGAUAAACUGAAGAAAUAAUUGUUCCUGGCAAACUCAAGGUAAAAAUGAUUUGCAAACUAUAGUGGAACUGCUAAGUCACAGCCUAAAGCAGUGAUUGAGUACCUGG